AUGCCAAGACUGACCAUCACCACCAUACCAAGGUCAUCACUGAUCAGAGGCCUAACCCAAGGAGGGGGUCAUGUGCAGACCCAGCAGUGGGGAGGAAAGAUGCUGCAGAGGAGACGGAUGCCCACAGAGGCCCCUGAGCGGACACAAUGCUCACUAAGUGGUAAGUAUAGACUCAACGUAGGCUGUAAGGUCUCCCCCUGUGCAAAUGGGACCCCGUCCACUUGAGAGUCAAGGGUCUGUUUGGGUGGCAGGGAUAGCCACUUCUGAAGGUAGAAAGGAAAAUAAGCCACCAAAUUGGUACCUUUCUGUGAAAUGGACAUCGUGCUUAGAAUCUCCAUUUUCCCCACAACCUGGAGGAAUAAGUACUGUCAUCUGCAUUUUGUAGCUGAAGAAUCUGACUCAACAAAAUUAAAUUACUCGCCUAAGCAAUUAGCAAUUAACCAAGUCUUUCUGACUCAGAAACCCAGCUGUUGCCUGUUCAUAUCCAGCCCCUGUAUUGGGGUCAAGACUGGCCUGUUCUCAAUGCAGCAAGAUCCAGGCAGAUCACACUGGACUCCCAGCACUGAAUCUGGCUCGAGGGGACAUCAAAUUUGACUGGGUCAUGGGGCUCAGGAGCAUCACUCUCAAAAAUAGCAGUACAGGAAGAGGCGAUGGCCCUAAACAGCAUUUGCAGGCAGAUCCCAUGUUAAUCGUAAGGGUCAGGACUCUCACUUUUCUGUCUCUCUCUCUGUCUCUCCUCUAGGGCUGACCCCACAUUGGACACCACUGCAUCCAUGUCCAUCACACACCACAGCUGCCUUUUCUUCUGCCUGCUUAUGGGAAAGUCCCCUCCUCUCCUCCAUUUUCUUCUCUUCCUGCCCUAUCACACCGUGCACUUCUCCCUUUCCU
rnacentral:lncRNA from 10 species